CCUACGGGUGGCAGCAGUGAGGAAUAUUGGUCAAUGGCCGGAAGGCUGAACCAGCCAUGCCGCGUGAAGGUCAGUGCCCUAUGGGCGUUAAACUUCUUUUGUGCGGGAGCAAUAAUGGUCACGUGUGGCCAGACGAGAGUACCGUACGAAUAAGCAUCGGCUAACUCCGUGCCAGCAGCCGCGGUAAUACGGGGGAUGCAAGCGUUAUCCGGGUUUAUUGGGUUUAAAGGGUGCGUAGGCUGUGAGGUAAGUCAGCGGUGAAAUGCCCCCGCGCAACGGGGUGAAGUGCCAUUGAUACUGCCUGGCUGGAAUGCGGAUGCCGUGGGAGGAAUGUGUGGUGUAGCGGUGAAAUGCAUAGAUAUCACACAGAACACCGAUUGCGAAGGCAGCUUACGAGUCCGCGAUUGACGCUGAGGCACGAAAGCGUGGGUAUCAAACAGGAUUAGAUACCCUAGUAGUC
rnacentral:rRNA from 1 species